rnacentral:lncRNA from 1 species
UAAUAAUGCCCCAAAGGAUUAGAAUUGUGAAAUAAUUUUGUUACAAAAUGAAAUAUACAGAUCCUCUAAAGAGUCGAAACAGAAUGCAAUUGUACAGAAUUUUAUGACAUAGAAAGCAAAUCCAUUAUUUUUCUCUUUCACAUUGAACCAAAAGAAGCCUUGAGGAGUCCGUCUUAUAAUUGCCUUGCUCUCAAUAGCCUCGGCAAUAACCUUCUGAACUUUUUUUUCAGGGCUGCGAAAAUGCACAGGGAAGGGCGGUUUAUUUUAGUCCGACAAACAGAAUUAAAAAGAAUAUCAAAAUGACAACCACCGGCCAGUGGCGUGGAUGGUAGAUCCUUGGCCUUCCCCGGUGGAGGCCAAGGUUCGAAACCCCUGCGAAGCAGAGAGGCUGAAGCGCUGUGUGGUUACUUAAGCGUGACGUCGGGGUGGUGGUUUCCCUGCUAGCGUCACCGGGGGAUUUACGGCGCACUGUCGGUGCAAGCUGGUUCCUCCUAUUCCCAAAAAAAAAAAAAAAUAUCAAAAUGACGUUCUCAUUGUUGUUUUGAUGCCUUAAACAAACUGUAACGUGAAGAUCUUUAACUCACUGCAUAAAAAAACUGAAAAAGUAUACUAUUUAUUUUUUUUUGGUAAAGAAAGUAUACUAUUUAUUGGUUGUUGAGAACAUAAAUAAAAUAGCCAUCUGCAUAAAAAAAAAAAUCGUGCACAUGCCGCCAUUUUGACAAAAAAUCACUGGAUAUUCAAAUUAUAAAGAUGAUAAGCUCAUGGAGUGGAACUAGAAAAGGAAAGCAGGCAAAGCUAUGUUCAUGUUGGCCGAGGAUGCAAGAACUGAAAGACAAAUGGGACGCGCUGGUAACUCUCGUUGCUUAGUGUUGGGAAUAACAUAUUCCCGAAAACCGGAUUCGACACUAAAUCGAACCCCUAAAUCAAUGCGGAAGACGAAGCCCUAGAAAAACACGUAUCACCGAUCGUAAAGCACACCACAGAUUCGAGCGUACCUUGUUAGCCACAGAUUAGACACCGACGCCGAUAAGUGGAAGAGAAUCUGGCCCUGUUCGAUCCGAUGAAGCCUUGAAGGGAAGAAGAAAAUGCCGUAUGCCUUACUGUUUCUUCUUUUUUCUUUUUGGAGAGAGAGAGCGCGCGGGAGAGAAGAAGACGUACGUUUUUCCAACCGUUGUCAUCUCUCUCUCUCUCUCUCUCUCUCUCUCUCUCUCUCUCUCUCUCUCUCUCUCUCUCUCUCUCUCUCUCUCUCUCUCUCUCUCUCUCCCCUCCCUUUUAUACCUUCCCCCAUCCACAGGCCCCAUUCCUGUGGGCCGGGCCUUUUGGGCCCAGCAUGGGCGGAUGGGCCUUAAGCCCAUCACCAAUUAAAAUCAUCAUCUCCCACUCGCACAUGGUGGGUUGAACAAGAUUCUCUUUACCUCUCUUCAACAUUCAUACCGGUGAAUAAUCCGUGCGACCAGCAUACUUUGAGAGCCCAUUGCUAUACAUCUGUUAGGAAUAUAUAGCAGCUCAUAAUGGGGGUCACACUCCGAGUAGAUUUAGUAUGCAGUACCCUAGAUCGAUCGAUCAUAUUUAUAUCUCUCUUAAUCUCUUUUAAACAAUGAUAUAUAUAUUGUAUUCACAAUUAUGAUUAUCACAAAGACAGUCAUAAUUGGUUAACUAGUGAAUACAAUACUACAAUGUGAUUCUCCAAAUUCGAUCUUCCUCUUCCCUUCAAACUCUCAAUUUCAGUUCAGCUUGCUUUUCCAGAAAUGCCCCAUUAGAUCGAAUCAAACUCAUGACCAUUGGUAACAUUCUAAGAUAGCAAACACUAAAUAGAAAUUUUGAGAAUAAGUAAGAGUCAUGAGGGGACUAAAAAAUUGAGGAACUCUUUUCCUCAAGAGUCUCACACGACAUAAAAAGUUGAGAUCAAACUUUUGCCACUCUUAUUGGUCGUCUCAUGCAUACGUAGUAUGAAAUACGUAUUACGGUAAUAACUCAUUUCCCAUGGAGCGUAUGUCUACACCUUCAAUACCAUACAGAUGAUAGUUCAGACAUACCCAAUGUCUAACUUGAGUUCACGUAUCUACUCAUUUACAAAAUUCAUCAGAACUCACAUCUGGCAUCUUAGACAGAUAAAGUAAAAUAUGUAGGGUAUUUUACUUUCGGACAUAGUAAGUAUUAUGUCCUCAUCUUAACACCUAGUUAAGGCGACAUACGUAUUUUAAGCUUGAGCUCUCAAUUAUCACCUAGAUAAUAAGCUUAAAAACAGUCUCAUCUCUAUUUAUCACACAGUAAAUAAAGGCGAUUACCCGUGUGAGUGGGCUAAUCUUAUAUCUGUCCAACAUACUUUCUCAACUUAAAAUAAUACACUAAGUAUUAAGAUGCAUAAAGAUCAAACAAAGAUACAUAGGCAUUAAUGAUGAAAAACACAAAUUCAUCAAAUGUGAACACUUCAGGGAAAUUACAAUCCAGUACAUCAGACUCUACGCAAUCCUAGAGAUUUUACAUGGCCACAAAACACAUCUCUAGGUUUUGGCUUUAUCAUAGGAUCUACUACCAUUCUAUACGUAACAUGUACUGUAAGUUCACAUCUUUUCAUGCAAUCAUAUUCUUAACAAAAUUAUACUUGGUAUCUAUAAGUUUGGUCUUGCCAUGAUAUUUUGGAUCUUUGGUGUACUCUUUUGCUGCUCGACUAUCAUAAUUAACCAACAAUUAAUUUGCAGCACUUCCAAUAACACCUAAAUGAUCCAAAAAAAUCUCUUAAGCCAAACAUCUUCUUAUAUUGCUGCUGAUAAUGUCACGAACUCAGUUUCAAUCGUGGACAAGGCUAUACACUUUUGUUUCUUACUGCUCCAACAUAUGGUGCCAUUAUUCGGUAAGAAAACAAACCCAGAGGUAGAUUUUCUUUCAUAUAAAUCUCCUCUCCAAUCAGCAUUAUAAUAGCCUUUGAGUUGCAGAUCCUUUCCAUAAUAACUCAACGUAUAAUCAGCAGUCCCCUUUAGAUACCUUAGUAUUUAUUUAACGGCUUUCCAACGUGCUUGACCUGGAUUGGAUUGGUAUCUACUCACCAUUCCAACUGCAUAACAUAUGUCAGGUCUUGUACAUAUCAUAGCGUACAUCAAGCUCCUAAUAGCACUAGCAUAAGGAACAUGUUUCAUUUGUUUCUUCUCUUGUGGAGUCCUUGGACACAGUCUAUGGCUCAAUCCUUCACCUUUUGCAAUAGGAGUAUCAAUGGGUUUACAAUCUUGAAAUCUUAACUCCAAGAAUGUAUGCAACAUCACCCAUGUCUUUCAUCUCAAAGUUGGAAGACAACCAACUCUUGACAGUAUUAACAAACUCCUUAUUACUUCCGGCAAUUAGUAUAUCAUCAACAUAUAAUGAUAUGAUCACAAAUUGAUCCUUGGAUCUUUUGAUAUAUAUAUACAAUGAUCCUCAUCUAUCAUUGUAAAAUCAUAUGCUAUUAUGGCAUUAUGAAAUCGUAUAUACCAUUGUCUUGAUGACUGCUUAAGGCCAUAUAUCGACCUCAAAAGUCGACAUACCUUUUCUUCUUGGCCUUUCACUAUGAAACCAGGUUGUUCCAUAUAUGUUCCUUCCUUUAAUUCUUCAUUGAGGAGAGCAGUCUUUACAUCCAUUUGAUGUAACUCAAGAUCCAUACUAAACACUAUUGCCAGAAUUAUACGAAUCAAGGUAAAUCUCACUACAGGAGAAAAUGUAUCUUCAUAAUCAAUAUCUUCCUGUUGAUUAUACCCCUUCGCCACAAGGCGAGCUUAUGCCUUUCUAUCGAGCCAUCAGCCUUUCGCUUUAUUUUGAGAACCCACUUGUUCCCAAUAGCUCUGCGUCCCUUUUGGAAGAUCAACCAGUUCCCAGACUUGGUUUGAUUUCAUUGACUCCAUUUCCUCUUUCAUUCCAUAAAUCCAUUUUUCCUUACUAGGGCAAUUUAGAGUCUCAUUAAUAUUUCUUGGCUCAUCCUCAUCUUGCGAAGCAAUCAUAAAAGUUUCCCCUUCAAUGUCAAAACGUCGACGGGGAAUAUUUUGGCGACUUGUUCGCCGUAUGGGAGAUUGUACACUUAGCACAUCAUUCCCCAUUAUACUCCCACUCGGAUUAGAUAAUGACAAUAUCAUCUCAUCAUGUGGUUGUAAUUUGAGAAUGAGUUGAAUUCAAUUCAUCACUUCUCAUAUUACUCCCACUUGGACGAACUCCACUAAUAUCAUUAUCUUGAUCCAAGGUUUCAAAUAGGGACUAAUCUUCCCAUAUUUCGCCCUUCUUAGGAAAUUCAUCCACUAAGAAUGUGACAUCCCGUGAUUCAAAUUCAGUUAUACUCCCACUUUCCUGCUCACCUACGAACACAUACCAUUUCGAGUGUUCGAAGUAUCUCAUUAAAAUACUGUUAUUUCCUUUAUGACCCAAUUUCCCAAACUUGUGAGAGGACUUAUGAGUAUAGGCAGUACAACCUCAUGGCUUAAGAAAACUUAAGUCCGAUUUUCUACCUGUCCAUAACUCAUAUGGAGUGGAACUAACUGAUUUGGAAGGCACCCAGUUAAGUAUAUAGGCAGCAGUUAACAACGCAUCACUCCAAAAGGUGAUAGGUAAGUUAGCAUGUGUCAUCAUGGACCUAACCAUUUCCAUUAGGGUUCUGUUUCUUCUCUCUGCAACAUCAUUUUGUUGAGGAGUAUAUGGAAUAGACAACUGUCUUUCUAUUCAUUUUUCAUCACACAAUUUUCUGAACUCAUCAGAUAAAUAUUCUCGACCUCGAUCGGAUCUCAAUGCUUUUAUUUUCUUGUCUAAUUGAUUUUCAACCAAGUUCAUAAACCUUUUGAAACAACAUAAUGCUUCAGAUUUAUGAGAAAUCAAAUAGACAUAUCCGAAUCGAGUAUAAUCAUCUAUAAAAGUGAUGAAAUAAACAACCCCAUGCCUUCUUCUCACAUUCAUUGAACCACAGACAUCAUAAUGGAUUAAAUGCAGAGGAAAUUCAGCUCUUUAUCUUUUCCAAAUGGUUUCAUUGUCGUUUUCCCUACUAGGCAAUGCUCACAUAUUGGCAAAUCGCCUUUUUCAAUAUUGCCUAAUAAGCUCUUUUUGGCCAGUCUAUUCAUAUGUUGUUGGCCAAUAUGACCAAGUCUAGCAUGCCACACAAUCACAUCAUUAUCAUAUGAAGUAGAAGACGUGAAACAAAGGAAUAACAUAUAUUGACAUCACCACAGUCAACAUUUAGUACAAUAAAACCAUCUAGAAAGUGACCACAAUCAUGGUAGUUUGUAUCCAAAUACAAAUCUACACCGUUAUUAUAGAAGUUCACACUAAAACCAAGCUUAACCAACAUCAAAACAGACACUUAAAUUUCAACGAAUCUCUAUAGCAUUUAGAACAUCAUGUAUGAACAAGGUGUGCCCACCACACAUGUUUAGUUGGCAGGUGUCAAUCCCUUUAACUUCAGCUCUAGAGUUGUUUCCCACAUAGAUCCACUUAGUUUCAGUUGGUAUUCGUCGGAAUUCCACGAAAGAUCCUCUAUCCUUCGCUACAUCGUCCGUUGCUCCUGAAUCUACAGUUCACAAAGGAUUGGAUUCAGUCUAUAAAGUAGAACUUGACACAAAAGGAAAGUUCUCAAAUGUACAAGAGGUGUAUACCUUCUUUAGCUCACGACAGUCGCGAGCAUAGUGAUCUCUAUUGUCACAAUUGUAAUACCUCACCCUUGAUAUUUUUUUUUCACUUGAGAACGUUUUCCUCUCUUGUGUUGGUUAACUCUUGAUCUCUUGCAAUAAGGACUUGAUCCUUUGCAUUCCCACAUAUUGAACGAAUCAAUACGCUUGCGCUUAGAGCUCAAAGCCCUUUCUGAGCUAGAACUAGCAUUGCAAAUAUCUAUUUUCGGCUCACAUGCCGUUAAGCGGUCCUCUACUAGCUCAAGAUGGCGCACUGCAUCCUUAAGAUCUUCCAUAACAUGGUCAAGAGCUUCUAGUGCUUCUUGCUUUUCCAGCACAUAUUGAAUCUUCAUAUUCAAUAUUUCACAAUUGUUGCCGUUCACAUCAGCAAUUACGUUCUUAGUUGCUGAAUCCAUCAAUCUGAACAGAUCAGACAUAUAUGCACGAAUAAUUAAUGCCUAUCAUUUAUGCAUCCACUUUGCACAGACCCAUCAUAUCAAUAAAUAAUUUCAAGUAAGGUUUCAGAAUCAAAAGGUCACUAAGUUUCCAAUCAUCCUCCAAAAAUCCCAACUUAAAAUUAUUAUUAAUAUAAUUGUCUUAUGCAAAAUAAAUUCUAUGAAAUUACAAAAACUUCUAUAAACUACCCACAGCUAACUACCCACAGCAAUCAGCAAUAACAGAAAGCAACAGAUAAUUGACAUCCAAUAAAAUAAUAAUGCUUUCAACUAAUACAACAAUCCAUUACACUAAGUAAUAUAUCCAAAAAGAAAUAUCAAACAUAGAAAGAGAUAUUCACACUCAAUAACAUCUCAACUAAUCUAAGAAAUAAAUAGGGAAUGUCCCUUCUAAUCUAUCAGUCAAAACAUCUGAGAAAACUGAAGGCACAUUUGCCAACCAUGGAAAAACUUUUGGAGAGCUCUCAUGUCGCCACCAAGGCGCAUUUACUCUACGCCAUGUGGCGCUCAAUCUAAAGGUUGAAGUUUUUGCCAACUCAAUCCUAUAGUACUCUCUUACAAAAGCUUCCACUAGCCUCCUAUAAUCCGAGACCAAGUUGACCUCACAUAACCGAUCUAACACUGCUUGCCAUUCAGGUGGAAGAGUGUUCAUCAAAGCCGGCAUCUUCUCAAAAUCCGGCAUAAGAUAACCAUUCCAGAUGAUUUCCUGUAUCAUCUGAUUAACCUUGACCAUGUGUGAUACUAAAUCACCAUUAAGCCACCGAUAAUCAACUAACUCUUUCAUCAGUCUUUUCAGUCUAGCUCUUCCUUCGUCCGUUCUCGGGAUUGCAGGUAUCCGUGCAUAACGCAUCAUAGUUCCUGCAACAAAUGCAGAACCAAUAAAUGGAUCACUUAUAAUCCACAAUAAACAAAAUGGAAAAUACAUAAUUUUCCAUGAUUCUUGCAACAAAUGCAAAAUAAAAAAAAAUGGAUUACCUCUAAUCCACACAGACAUAAUUGAAAAAGAAACAAAUUCCUUCUUCUUCUUCUUUUUCGGGUCAACGGUCAAAGUCAACGGUCAACGGUGAACGAUCGUCGGUCAACGGUCAACAGGUCAACGGUCAGGUCGUCAGACCGGUCGGACCGAACAUACCAGUCGGACCGGUUGGGCCAGUUCAGGCAAACUGACGGCACGUGCCGCACGCUUGCGCGGGCUGACAUCACGCAAACGUCAACCGGCACGUGCCGCGCGCGUGCCGGCGUCCACGGUUCGGGUCGGGUCGAGUCGCCGGCCGGUGAUCGCCCGGCGAAAUGUCGUCAUGCUGACGUCAUCGAUGAUGUCACCCUAGCGGUUACUGACCGUUGGGUGACAUCAGCACGCGUCGGUCCGCGGACCGGCGCAUGCCGAUUCUCCAGCCGACAGCGAGCACGUGCCGCUUCGCCGACCGGCGCGAGUGUCGCACGCGCUGGGCGAGCCAACGCUUCCGGGCACGUCGCGGCCAGCCCCACGCGCAGCGGCUUCUGGCUGCGCAUGUGGGCGCGUGCGGCGUCGUCCAGCGGCGCACGACAUGUCGCCGGACUCGCCUUGACUAGCCCUUUCACCCUAUGCAUUCAGAAAUCGAUUUCGACUUACGGAAACUCGAAAAAAUCGAUGAACAGUGCUCAGGUGUCGGGAUUUCUCGCCCCGAUCCGUGCGGCCGAAUUGCUUUUGCGAAAAAUCAAUCAAAAAACAUCAAACAGGUCGGGAAAACGUGAACUAGGGCUCUUAUACCAAUGUUGGGAAUAACAGAUCCCCGAAAACCGGAUUCGACACUAAAUCGAACCCUUAAAUCAAUGCGGAAGACGAAGCCCGAGAAAAACACGUAUCACCAAUCGUAAAGCACACCACGGAUUCGACACCGACGCCGAUAAGUGGAAGAGAAUCUGGCCCUGUUCGAUCCGAUGAAGCCUUGAAGGAAAGAAGAAAAUGCCAUAUGCCUUACUGUUUCUUCUUUUUUCUUUUUGGAGAGAGAGAGCGCGCGGGAGAGAAGAAGACGUACGUUUUUCCAACCGUUGUCAUCUCUCUCUCUCUCCUCCCUUUUAUACCUUCCCCAUCCACGGGCCCUAUUCCCGUGGGCCGGGCCUUUUGGGCCCAGCAUGGGCGGACGGGCCUUAAGCCCAUCACCAAUUAAAACCAUCACUUAGAGAAAUGAUGCAAAGCUCCAAAAGCAGAAGAACGACCUUUUACCCAUCACGCACCAGAAUUAUAAUCACGAGCCAACAUUUUGUGAAUGUUCUGCCGACAAUCUUGUAAUUGGAUCCACACAAAAACCAAUCAUAGAAACAAGGACAGGCGAGGAGGAUCGCUACUACAUGGUCUGAAAGCAGAAUGUAAAGGUCUCAUUACGAGGACACGCGGACGGGCUACCCGACCGAAUCCCAAGUACGCCAAUGCAGCGUUAAUAGAGGAUAUUGAGGUAAAUCAUGUGAAUGAAGGGAGAUUGGAAGUAAAUCUUAGGGAGAAUAGAAGGGCGAUGCAAUAGGAGAUCCAAGCCUUGUGGCAGAACGAGACAUGGGAUUUAUGUGAAGAAACCUAGAGAUGUGAAAGCCAUAUCAUGUGAAUGGAUUUAAUGCUGAAGAGUUACCCAGAUGGUUCGAUCUAAGUGAAACAAGGCUCCAUCGGUGGCUUGAUUAGAAAACUCCGACUUCUUAAUAGUAAUUUGUCUGAGCCAACAUAUCGAUUACAAACAUCAAUCUCAUUUCUUGAAAAUUUCUAGGAGAUUUCUCCGAUGGUCACUGAAUUUUAGUAGCUUUUGCAAUCAAUCAUGAAUUUUGACUUCUACCACUCAAAGUGCUGUACUUUCCCCUUUUCUUUUACAAUUGAUACACUUUCAACUGCAAAGAUCAAUUUUUCGGAUGCCAUGUCACUACCACAUGUUGGCCCAUCACUAGAUGAAAAAGUGCAGUUAAAUCCAUCCAAUGAAUAAGUUUUUUUUUUUUGAUACCCAGGGAACCCCGUCAGCCGUUCGUCGCCUUGCGGCGGUACAUAGCCGCCAAGUAAACCCUGGAGCGACGCUAGCGGAGGACCCACCACCCCGACGUCACGCUUAAAUCGCCGAUGCUUCCCCUGGGAUUUGAUCCCCUCACCUUUCCCCCAAGGCAAGGGGUUCUUAUCCAGCAGAGCCACCAAGGCCGGUGGUCAUCCAAUGAAUAAGUUAAAGUUCAGUAAAAGUCGAUACAAUUUACCUUGAAAUUCC